rnacentral:rRNA from 1 species
UACGGGGGGGGCAAGCGUUGUUCGGAAUUACUGGGCGUAAAGGGCUCGUAGGCGGUUUGUCGCGUCGGGAGUGAAAACGCCGUGCUUAACACGGCGCUUGCUUUCGAUACGGGCAGACUAGAGGUAUGCAGGGGAGAACGGAAUUCCUGGUGUAGCGGUGAAAUGCGCAGAUAUCAGGAGGAACACCGGUGGCGAAGGCGGUUCUCUGGGCAUUACCUGACGCUGAGGAGCGAAAGUGUGGGGAGCGAACAGG